rnacentral:lncRNA from 1 species
CAGCGGCAACCUGCCGUUGCAGCAUUCUUUUCUGAAAUACCAAAAUAAAAACAGAGUCAUUUAUCAGUGAAGCGAAAUUGUCCUAGAUUUAUUGACCUUGGCUGUGUUUUUUGUUUACUUUAUUGUUGAAUCUAAUUUCAGCAUCUUGGUGAUUGUGAUUGGCCAUGGCUUCAUAGUGCAUUCUCAUGUCAUGAGGAGCUGUGUUAGAUCAGCUCCAGGUGGGCUGACCCAUUCCACCUGCAACUCAGAGCCUGCAACAGCUGGCUGGCCUUUAAUUUCCUGAAUUGGAAACAACCCUCGCUCAAGGAAUUCGGCCAUUAUGAAUCUCGUGCUGUUGCCCAGGCUGGAGUACAAUGGUGUGAUCUCAGCUCACUGCAACCUCUGCCUCCGGAGUUCUCCUGCCUCAGACUCCCUAGUAGCUGGGACUGCAGGCACCCGCCACCAUGCCCAGGUAAUUUUUGUGUUUUUAGUAGAGAUGGAGUUUCAGCAUGUUGGCCAGACUGGUCUCGAACUCCUGACCUCAGGUGAUCCGCCCACCUUGGCCUCCCAAAGUGCUGGGUUAUAGGAGUGAGCCACUGCACCCAGUCCCCCAUGAUUUCUAUAUUACCAAAUGCAUUUUUCUUCAUGUUUGUUGUCAGUGCAGUGAGAUAAACCCAGAGGUUGAUGAAGGAUGUUUCUAUCUAUCGUUCGUCAAUCAAUCAAUCUUUAAUGAAAGGUGUUAGACAAUAUUUUUUGGUAAAAACAAACGUGGUGUGAGUUGAUGUUCUUUCUCUGAAUGGCUUUUGCUUCAUUUUACUUUAUUGGAGAGUCUGAGUUUAUCCCUAUGGCUUCGAACAUCCUAGUCACUAAAUAAAUAUAUUUUUUAACACUUUUGUUAAAAUUGAAACAACUUAACACUCAUUCUUAGAAAAAAUAUUCCAAUGACAAAUUUAGGAAACUUAUAUAUCAAGCUGAUAUUGUUAUUGGCAAGUGUGGGGCUAUUGGUGGAUGCUACUUGUAUUUUAGUUCUGUUGCUUUUGCUUUUUUUUAAUGACACAAAAUAUAUUUAAUACGUUAAAUGAGAGACUAGGAAAUAUAUUUAAAGAUCUUUCAGGCUGACAUAAUGACCGCAAAUAAGUAAGACAAAAAAGCUUUGGUAAAAUAAGUAGAAUUAAAAAAAUGCAGUUCUGUGAAUUAACACAAGAAAACAUCAGAUGAAGAAUAAAGUUUCUCUGCCAAAGUUCCAGCUCAACAGUGCUGUGAAUGUGAUGUGGCUGCUGCUGUUAGACAAUAUUAAAAAAUUUACAAAGCCCAGAGGUCGUCUUCCCCCAGCUCUUGGCCCUUCUGUUUAGUUUUGCAUGUCAUAUUCUAGAGAGAAUAUUUAAUAGCAAAUAUGUUAACUACAUCCGAAACACCUGGCCCAUAUAAUGAAGAGUAUGGAAACAAUGCCAAAUGAGGCAUGGCUAAAGAAAUUAGGAUUUUUGUCUAGAAAAG